GCCGCCGUAGCUCAGCGCGGUAGAGCGCCGGCCUUGUAAGCCGGUGGUCGCGGGUUCAAAUCCCGCCGGCGGCUCCA
rnacentral:tRNA from 1 species